UUAAUGCACUACCCGUAAAAAUCAACCUGAUCAUGAGUUAUAAUCCCAGAAAAUGUCAAAACAGAAGCCUUAUUAAUAUGGCAACACUGAGAGUAACUAGCACAUGAUGGAUAUUGUCUACUUCGGAAUUUUAAUUUAAAGAGUUUGCUCCCACUUAACGCAACCAUUUUUACGUUUUCUUUUACCUUUUUCUAGAUACAGUACAAUAAAUACCCUCUCGCCCUGUUACUCAUUAGAUCAGUUCAUGUACCCUAUCCUAGAAACCCCCCAAAAAAAAAUCUUCAAUCCAGAUAUAUAACGUGCAUGAUGUGCCCAGGAAAAAUGAAAUUGGCAAGCUUUCCAUGCUUGAUAUUGUUGAUCUCAUGCACCCAAGUCCUGUCAAGCUCCGUUCUUGGAAACUUUUCAGCUUUAGAACACAAAGGCCCGAUGCAAGAGCAAGAAGUAGUUGAUGAAAGACUUGUUAUUGCUGUUAAUGGAACUAUAUAUGAGUCGGGGAAGUCGCAGAGAGGGAAGGGUGGAGGUGCAAAUAUCCCUCAUCGACCACGCCCCGGUCAAAAGAAUGCGGCGUCGACAUUGUUAGCAGCACCCCCAUCUUUCAUCUCAUCAACCCUUAUAGCUUAUCUAAGCUUCGGUAAUUUGAUCCUUGUUUCUCCCUUCGGAUUGCUCUUCUAAGGCCAGGAAAAAAAAUUAAAAAAAACAAAACAAAAUUGUUUUGUUAUUAUCGUCCUAUAUAUAUAUAUAUACACACAUCAUAGGCCCAUUUUUCCUAGCUGGUUGUGUUUGGUAUGGCAGAUUUUGGGUUUCCAUAUUAUGGAUCCUUGUACUUGGUGUACUGUAGUGGCCGUGAUUUUAAAAAAUCUUGUUGUAAACCUGUAAUGUUAAUGAGUACUGUUUGUAAAGUAUGGUAUAUAGCAUAUAUAAUUGGCGUGGAA